rnacentral:rRNA from 1 species
AUUGAACGCUGGCGGCAGGCCUAACACAUGCGAGUCGAGCGGAUGAAGGGAGCUUGCUCCUGGAUUCAGCGGCGGACGGGUGAGUAAUGCCUAGGAAUCUGCCUGGUAGUGGGGGAUAACGUCCGGAAACGGGCGCUAAUACCGCAUACGUCCUGAGGGAGAAAGUGGGGGAUCUUCGGACCUCACGCUAUCAGAUGAGCCUAGGUCGGAUUAGCUAGUUGGUGGGGUAAAGGCCUACCAAGGCGACGAUCCGUAACUGGUCUGAGAGGAUGAUCAGUCACACUGGAACUGAGACACGGUCCAGACUCCUACGGGAGGCAGCAGUGGGGAAUAUUGGACAAUGGGCGAAAGCCUGAUCCAGCCAUGCCGCGUGUGUGAAGAAGGUCUUCGGAUUGUAAAGCACUUUAAGUUGGGAGGAAGGGCAGUAAGUUAAUACCUUACUGUUUUGACGUUACCAACAGAAUAAGCACCGGCUAACUUCGUG